rnacentral:misc_RNA from 1 species
GAUGAAGAACGUAGCGAAAUGCGAUAAGUAAUGUGAAUUGCAGAAUUUAGUGAAUCAUCGAAUCUUUGAACGCACAUUGCGCCCGCCAGUAUUCUGGCGGGCAUGCCUGUUCGAGCGUCAUUACGCCCCUCAAGUCCCCUGUGGACUUGGUGUUGGGGAUCGGCGAGGCUGGUUUUCCAGCACAGCCGUCCCUUAAAUUAAUUGGCGGUCUCGCCGUGGCCCUCCUCUGCGCAGUAGUAAAACACUCGCAACAGGAGCCCGGCGCGGUCCACUGCCGUAAAACCCCCCAACUUUUUAUAGUUGACCUCGAAUCAGGUAGGACUACCCGCUGAACUUAAGCAUAUCAAUAAGCGGAGGA